CCCUUAGAUGUUCUGGGCCGCACGCGCGCUACACUGACGAAUGCAACGAGCUUAUAACCUUGGCCGAAAGGUCUGGGUAAUCUCCAAAUUUCGUCGUGAUGGGGAUAGAUUGUUGCAAUUAUUAAUCUUCAACGAGGAAUGCCUAGUAAGCGCAAGUCAUCAGCUUGCGUUGAUUACGUCCCUGCCCUUUGUACACACCGCCCGUCGCUCCUACCGAUUGAAUGGUCCGGUGAAGCGUUCGGACCGUGGCCUUUGGACGGUUCGCCGUCUGUUGGCUGCGGGAAGUUCGUUAAACCUUAUCAUUUAGAGGAAGGAGAANUCGUAACA
rnacentral:rRNA from 1 species